rnacentral:rRNA from 1 species
UACGUAGGGUGCAAGCGUUAAUCGGAAUUACUGGGCGUAAAGCGUGCGCAGGCGGUUUUGUAAGUCUGAUGUGAAAUCCCCGGGCUCAACCUGGGAAUUGCAUUGGAGACUGCAAGGCUAGAAUCUGGCAGAGGGGGGUAGAAUUCCACGUGUAGCAGUGAAAUGCGUAGAGAUGUGGAGGAAUACCGAUGGCGAAGGCAGCCCCCUGGGAUAACACUGACGCUCAUGCACGAAAGCGUGGGGAGCAAACAGG